rfam:Gossypium hirsutum cultivar TM-1 chromosome 11, whole genome shotgun sequence
AUUUCGUGAUAAGGGCAAUUUCAUAAUAAUUCUUUAUACCUUUCCCAUGCCUCAUACAAGGACUCAUCAUCCAUUUUUUAGAAAGCAGUGAUCUCAUUCCUUAACUU